AGUCAAGUGACUAAGUGCAUGAGGUGGAUGCCUUGGCGAUUACAGGCGAUGAAAGACGCGAUAGCCUGCGAAAAGCUCCGGGGAGCUGGCAAAUAAGCUUUGAUCCGGAGGUCUCUGAAUGGGGAAACCCACCCGCAAGGGUACCUGUCUCUGAAUACAUAGGGGGCAAGGAGCGAACGUGGUGAACUGAAACAUCUAAGUAGCCAUAGGAACAGAAAUCAACCGAGAUUCCCAGAGUAGUGGCGAGCGAAAUGGGAACAGCCUGCAACUUUUAGCAUCUGUGUUAGCAAAAUGGUUUGGAAAAGCCAGCGAUAGUGGGUGAUAGCCCCGUAUGCGAAAACAUGGAUGUAGAACUAAGGUUGCGACAAGUAGGGCGGGACACGUGAAAUCCUGUCUGAAGAUGGGGGGACCAUCCUCCAAGGCUAAAUACUCGUAAUCGACCGAUAGUGAACCAGUACCGUGAGGGAAAGGCGAAAAGAACCCCGGGAGGGGAGUGAAAUAGAUCCUGAAACCGCAUGCAUACAAACAGUCGGAGCCCUGCUUAAUUGGUCUUUACCCCGAAGUUCUUUGUUGUCCGAGCGCGCAUCGCAAGAUGCGGGCGAGACGCAACAAAAGAUAUUUGAGGGGAGUGAAGAGCGAGAGCUUUUAGUUGAUUGAACAGAGAGAUAGGCGUACUGGACACGAGAGUGGACAGAGCCGUCACCCUGCUCAAUUGGCUGAAGGCCAAUUGAGCAGGGUGACGGCGUACCUUUUGUAUAAUGGGUCAGCGACUUACGUUGUGUUGCGAGCUUAACCGAAUAGGGAAGGCGUAGCGAAAGCGAGUCUGAUAAGGGCGAUUAGUAGCACGGCGUAGACCCGAAACCGGAUGAUCUAUCCAUGGCCAGGAUGAAGGUGCCGUAACAGGUACUGGAGGUCCGAACCCACUAACGUUGAAAAGUUAGGGGAUGAGCUGUGGAUAGGGGUGAAAGGCUAAACAAAUCCGGAAAUAGCUGGUUCUCUCCGAAAACUAUUUAGGUAGUGCCUCAAGUAUCACCAUCGGGGGUAGAGCACUGUAUUGGCUAGGGGGCCGUUUAGGUCUACCAAACCAAAGCAAACUGCGAAUACCGAUGAGUGCGAGCUUGGGAGACAGACACCGGGUGCUAACGUCCGGUGUCGAAAGGGAAACAACCCAGACCGACAGCUAAGGUCCCAAAGCAUGGUUAAGUGGAAAACGAAGUGGGAAGGCGAAGACAGUCAGGAAGUUGGCUUAGAAGCAGCCAUCCUUUAAAGAAAGCGUAAUAGCUCACUGAUCGAGUCGUCCUGCGCGGAAGAUGUAACGGGGCUAAACCAUGCACCGAAGCUUCGGAUUUGUACGCUCCACUUUAAUUUAUUGGCACAAGCUUGUUGCUGGUUCGCGGAGCGAAUCACGCAACAAAGCGACCAUCACUAAUCGAGUUAUCACCUGAUUGUGGUGGGGUAGCUUGUUGCUGGUUCGCGGAGCGAAUCACGCAACAAAGCGACCAUCACUAAUCGAGGUUUGAUUGGUGGUGGGGCUAGUGAAUUAAAGGGAGCGUACAGAUGGUAGGAGAGCGUUCUCUAGGCCUGAGAAGGUGUCUUGUAAGGGAUGCUGGAGGUAUGAGAAGUGCGAAUGCUGACAUGAGUAGCGAUAAAGGGAGUGAAAAGCUCCCUCGCCGAAAGCCCGAGGUUUCCUGCGCAACGUUCAUCGGCGCAGGGUGAGUCGGCCCCUAAGGAGAGGGCGAAAGCCGUAUCUGAUGGGAAACUGGUUAAUAUUCCAGUACCGUUAUCCAAUGCGAUGUGGGGACGGAGAAGGUUAGGCAAGCCGGGUGUUGGACGUCCCGGUUGAAGCGUGUAGGCGUGGUUUCUAGGCAAAUCCGGAGAUCUUAGCUGAGGCGUGAUAACGAGGUACUUCGGUACUGAAGUUGCUGAUACCAAGCUUCCAGGAAAAGCCACUAAGCUUCAGUUGGAUAAGACCGUACCGCAAACCGACACAGGUGGGCAGGAUGAAAAUUCUAAGGCGCUUGAGAGAACUCAGGAGAAGGAACUCGGCAAAUUGACACCGUAACUUCGGAAGAAGGUGUGCCUUGAUAAGGUGUAGAGACUUGCUCUCGAAGCCGUAAGAGGUUGCAGAGAAUCGGUGGCUGCGACUGUUUAACAAAAACACAGCACUCUGCUAAGACGAUGAGUCGACGUAUAGGGUGUGACGCCUGCCCGGUGCCGGAAGGUUAAAUGAUGGGGUGCAAGCUCUUGAUUGAAGCCCCGGUAAACGGCGGCCGUAACUAUAACGGUCCUAAGGUAGCGAAAUUCCUUGUCGGGUAAGUUCCGACCCGCACGAAUGGCGUAACGAUGGCCACACUGUCUCCUCCUGAGACUCAGCGAAGUUGAAAUGUUUGUGAAGAUGCAAUCUCCCCGCGGCUAGACGGAAAGACCCCAUGCACCUUUACUGUAGCUUUACAUUGGACUGUGACACGGCCUGUGUAGGAUAGCUGGGAGCCUAUGAAGUGGGGACGCUAGUUCUCAUGGAGGCGACGUUGAAAUACCAGCCUGGUAGUGUUGCGGUUCUAACCUGGCCCCCUGAUCGGGGGUGGGGACCGUGUAUGGUAGGCAGUUUGACUGGGGCGGUCUCCUCCCAAAGAGUAACGGAGGAGUGCGAAGGUAACCUAGGUACGGUCGGACAUCGUACUGAUAGUGCAAUGGCAUAAGGUUGCUUGACUGCGAGACUGACAAGUCGAGCAGGUGCGAAAGCAGGUCAUAGUGAUCCGGUGGUUCUGAAUGGAAGGGCCAUCGCUCAACGGAUAAAAGGUACGCUGGGGAUAACAGGCUGAUUCCUCCCAAGAGUUCAUAUCGACGGGGGAGUUUGGCACCUCGAUGUCGGCUCAUCACAUCCUGGGGCUGUAGCCGGUCCCAAGGGUAUGGCUGUUCGCCAUUUAAAGUGGUACGUGAGCUGGGUUCAAAACGUCGUGAGACAGUUUGGUCCCUAUCUGCCGUGGGCGUUGGAAAUUUGACGGGGGCUGCUCCUAGUACGAGAGGACCGGAGUGGACGUACCGCUGGUGUACCUGUUGUUUCGCCAGAAGCAUCGCAGGGUAGCUAAGUACGGAAGAGAUAACCGCUGAAAGCAUCUAAGCGGGAAACUUGCCUGAAGAUAAGAUUUCCCGGGGGUUUAACCCCCUUGAAGGGUCGUUCGAGACCAGGACGUUGAUAGGCACCGUGUGGAAGCGCAGUAAUGCGUUAAGCUAAGGUGUACUAAUUGCCCGUAAGGCUUGACUCU
rfam:Betaproteobacteria bacterium TKL13-2, complete genome.